CGUUAUAACCGGCGAUUUCCGAAUGGGGAAACCCAGUGUGUUUCGACACACUAUCAUUAACUGAAUCCAUAGGUUAAUGAGGCGAACCGGGGGAACUGAAACAUCUAAGUACCCCGAGGAAAAGAAAUCAACCGAGAUUCCCCCAGUAGCGGCGAGCGAACGGGGAGGAGCCCAGAGCCUGAAUCAGUGUGUGUGUUAGUGGAAGCGUCUGGAAAGGCGCGCGAUACAGGGUGACAGCCCCGUACACAAAAAUGCACAUAUUGUGAGCUCGAUGAGUAGGGCGGGACACGUGGUAUCCUGUCUGAAUAUGGGGGGACCAUCCUCCAAGGCUAAAUACUCCUGACUGACCGAUAGUGAACCAGUACCGUGAGGGAAAGGCGAAAAGAACCCCGGCGAGGGGAGUGAAAAAGAACCUGAAACCGUGUACGUACAAGCAGUGGGAGCCUCUUAAUGGGGUGACUGCGUACCUUUUGUAUAAUGGGUCAGCGACUUAUAUUCUGUAGCAAGGUUAACCGAAUAGGGGAGCCGAAGGGAAACCGAGUCUUAACUGGGCGUUAAGUUGCAGGGUAUAGACCCGAAACCCGGUGAUCUAGCCAUGGGCAGGUUGAAGGUUGGGUAACACUAACUGGAGGACCGAACCGACUAAUGUUGAAAAAUUAGCGGAUGACUUGUGGCUGGGGGUGAAAGGCCAAUCAAACCGGGAGAUAGCUGGUUCUCCCCGAAAGCUAUUUAGGUAGCGCCUCGUGAAUUCAUCUCCGGGGGUAGAGCACUGUUUCGGCAAGGGGGUCAUCCCGACUUACCAACCCGAUGCAAACUGCGAAUACCGGAGAAUGUUAUCACGGGAGACACACGGCGGGUGCUAACGUCCGUCGUGAAGAGGGAAACAACCCAGACCGCCAGCUAAGGUCCCAAAGUCAUGGUUAAGUGGGAAACGAUGUGGGAAGGCCCAGACAGCCAGGAUGUUGGCUUAGAAGCAGCCAUCAUUUAAAGAAAGCGUAAUAGCUCACUGGUCGAGUCGGCCUGCGCGGAAGAUGUAACGGGGCUAAACCAUGCACCGAAGCUGCGGCAGCGACACUAUGUGUUGUUGGGUAGGGGAGCG
rnacentral:rRNA from 1 species